rnacentral:tRNA from 1 species
GCCUGGCUAGCUCAGUCAGCAGAGCACGGAAUUCUUAAUCCCUGGGCUGUGGGUUCAAGCCCCAUGUUGGGCG